rnacentral:piRNA from 1 species
UUGAACAUUUUGGUUCCUGGUAUUUCUAGC